AACAUGCUAUAAAUGUUUAUUACGAGGAAGUAAAUAACAGGGUAUUUGUUUUCAAAUCUUAAAAUUCAUUUCAUUCUAAUGGUUCAGAUAUACAAUGAUGUUACACGCAUAUCUUGGAACUGUAACCUUCGUCCUUAUGCUUGCAACUAAAGAAAUUUGUCUUUGCAACAUUCAAACAUGUUUCACAUGGAAAAUAUCGAAAAACAGAUUGACUUUAACCUGCAAGGUAGAUGAUCUACACCUAUCCGUUUUUAUUGAUGAUCCAUUUGGAAAAGUACAAGCUGACUGUGUACAACCUCACCCGUUCGUUAAAUGUGAACCCUAUUACAAAAAUGGAAGUAUAACACAGAACAGUACAACAAAAGAAACUAUAUUUACCGUGCAAGGUAAAAUCGACAAAUCAAUCAAUGGAAAUUGGACCUGUCGUCAUGGCACACACAGAGACAUUGCCAAAGUUGAAGUAACAGUAUUGAAUACAUUAGGUGGAAUUGGAAGUGGAUUAAACAAGGAAAACAUACGAUAUGAUAACAAUACAGUUUCCUUGAAAGACUCGACUGAUAACCAAUGCGUGUAUAAAGUACUGUUAUUUUCAAUGAUUGCCUAUUUUGGAACUAUGUUGGUUUGGGUAAUCUUGUGGUGUAAAACAGGGGAGUAUAUAAAGCCUUUGGUUGAUGAUAUCUGGCAAAAUUGCAUGUGCAUCAACUCUAUUCCAGGUUUGAAGACUGUGAGUUUUAUAACAUGUUCCUGUCUAUUUCUCGGAAUAUGCACAUUAUGUGGGUAUUUCGAUGAUGCUACGUGUAUAUUCCGGAUAGUGUUACCAAUAAUUGGAAUAGUGUUUGCAAGCCUUAGUACACCUUUGUUUCUUAAUCUUGCAGUUGAACAAAGAAUAGUGACAGUGAACUCAGAAAACGCCCCAGGCCAACAAGCAAAUGGCCAUGAUGACCAUGCUUUAGAUCCAAUGAUCGAUCCAAUUGACAUUUGAAAUGGUAAAUACACGUGAAAAGGAUCAACUAAGUGAGGAAUUAUCAAGAUAUCAAGUACAGGAAAAAUGUUGCGUGGAGUUAUCAAGAUUUAGAUAUGAGUAUUUUUGCAUUUUGGACGGAAGUGAGUGUCAAAAGAGUAUUUGAAAUAUGGUUCCAUUAACCAUAUAAACUUCGAGUCAAUGUACUAGCAUUACUACGUGUGUUUAAUGGGCUAGCUACAUACUGUCAUCAGUAAACAAUUGGCAGGCAUUCGAGUAACAUGAAAUUGUUGUCAAUAUUCUAAUGCAUAUACUGUGGAUUCAUUUAUUUUCGUGGGUACCAAUUUUCGUGGAUUAAGGAAAACUUACAUGUUCGUGGAUAUCUAAUUUCGUGGUUUUUGACAAUGUCUGCAUACAAGCCUAUAGUAAAUUUGCCAUUCGUUGAACAUAUAAUUUCGUGGUUAACCUAUAACCACGAAAUCCACGAAAAUUGGUAUCCAACGAAUAAUAAUGAAUCCACAGUAGGUAUACUUCCAUGGUUUUUAUCAUAUACAUACUGUAAAUAUCCCAAUAAACCUUUUGGGAAUAGUUAUAUAUAUAUUUUCAUAUUUUGACAUCAGCUAAUUUUUUCUGCAUCCCAUCGAUAUGGUUCUUAUGGUAGUAUGAGCGUAUCAACGGAAAAUUAUUUUCAGUAAUCUUUUCAUAUUUUGCCAAAACAUAGUAUAUAUUAUGAUAUUUUCAAAAUUAAAUAAAGAUGAUAGGCCACCGAGCUUGUUUUGAAGCCACAUGUUGUAAAAUAAUGAAACAUCGUGUAUGGAUUAUAUAGAAGAAAAAAUGCAUCAUUCUUGGAAUAGAAGGUAAACUAAAUGAUAGAAUUUUGUAAUAAAGUAUGAGAAGAGAGCUCAUAUAAGAUGCUUUCAGAAUAUCAAAAGUGAAAAUGGGGUCAAUGUACGGUUUUUCCUGCUAUAACAUUAAAUUGAAAAAUGUCCCGUAAAUUCCUGUAUAAAUAUUACAAGUUCUAAAUUACUUCCUCGCAAUACACUAAGUGAGAAAAAAAAUGAAAUCAAUCAAAAAUAUUCUACCUUUGUAACAAUAUUAGUAAUUGUAAAAAAUGCUUAAUUUUGUUCCUUCAAAUGAAAAUUUGUUUGAUAAAUUGCAUUCCUACAUCAAAAUGUGGUGACUUGAUUUAAGAUAAAGGCUUCUAUUUUACAAUCCAAGAUGAUGAAAGACUGUCAAACAAACUUAACUCUAUAUUUCGAUUACAUAAAGUAGGGAUGUCAACUUAAACUAAAUAACAGUCUUAUAGAACCAAUUGUAAGCCAUCUCAAAUGGCUAAAUAUAAAAAUUGAUAUCCUUUAGAAGUUUCAAUAUUUAUCGAACAUUUCACUUGUGCUAAAUUGUGUUAUAUUUAUGUAUGUAUGUAAGGAUAGAUGUGUGUAUGUAUGUAUGGAUGGAUGGAUGGAAUGAGGGAUGAUUGGGAUGGA